UGGUGCGGCUUUAGAUGGAGCUGGUACUAAGACCCAGGACUUCUGGGGCUUGAAGACCCUGGGUCUGCGGGAAGCCCCUGCUGAGCGUCCCUCGCCUACCCCGUGGCCAGUGGGUGAGUAGGGCUAGAUCUCCGCCCAUCUAGGUCCCCUUCUGCUCCAGCUCCAGCGUCUGACAUCCCAAGGAAGGAACGCAGGGUGGGGGCAUUUGAGCCGGACCUGAGCCAUCCUCAUGGUUUUCAAAAAGUAGCCUUAUUGUGGUGUAAUUGACAGACGGUAAGCCACAUAUUUCAAUUUGGUACGUUUUAACACUCGGAUACUCCUGUGAAACCAUCACCACAAUCAGCAUAGUGAACACCCCGGGUUCCCUCUUGGUCAUCUCUCCCUGCCCUCCCUCAUCCCCAGGCAAGCACUGAUCUGCAUUCUGUCACUACUGAUUACUUUGCAUUUCCUAUGAUUUGCACAAAUGGAAUCAUAUAAUAUGUACUUUUUGUGUAGCUUCUUUCACUCAGCACAAUUAUUUUUGAGAUUUGCCUGCGUCAUUUGGUUUGUCAAUGCGUAUUUCUUUUACAGCUGCAUGGUACUCCAGUGUAUGAAUGUACCACAGUUUGUGUCCAUUCACCUGCUGGUGGGCAUUUGGGUUGUUUCUGGUGUUGGCUCUUACAGAUAAAGCUGAUCCGAACAUUGUGCACAAGUCUUUGGAUGAAUGCUUUUCUUUCUCUUGAAUAGAUGUCUAGGAGUGGAGUGGCUGGAUGCCACGGUAGCCAUAUGUGAAACUUUUUAAGAAACUGCCAAAGCGAUUGUAUGGUUUUACAUUCCACAUCCUCCCCAGCACUUGGUAUGGUUUGUCUUUUUAAUUUCAAAUACUCUAAUAGGUGUGUGGUGAUAGAUGGAACUGUGGUUUUAAUUUGCGUUUCCCUGUUGGCCAAUGAUGUUGAGCAUCAUUUCAUCUGUUUAUUCUCCAUCUCCUGUAGUAAGCGUUGAGUUCAAAUCUUUUACUCACUUUUAAUUGGGUUGUUUAUUUUCUUAUUAUUGAGUUUGGGAGUUUGUUGCAUAUUCUGGAUACAAGUCCUUUAUCAGAUAUGUGAUCUGUAAAUGCUUUCUCCAAGCCUUUGGAUUGUGUGUUCAUUCUCUUAACAGUUUUUCAAAGAGCAGAAUUUUUUAAUUUUGAGGAAAUCCAAUUUAUGUUUUUCUUUUAUGGAUCCUGCUUUUGGUGUCAUAUAUAAGAAAUCUUUGCCUCACCCAAAGUCACAAGGGUUUUAGAGUUUUAAAGGUUUGCAUUUGGGUCUAUUACCUAUUUUAAGUUUAUUUGGGUUUAUAGUAUGAGAUAUGAUUCAAUGUUUAUUUUUUGUGUAUGUGGAUAAUCAGUUUUUUCCAGACUGUUGAAAAGACUAUCCUUUCUCUUGUUUGCUGAGAGUCUUUUUAAUCAGGAAUGAAAGUUGGAUUUUGUUUUUUCUGCAUCUAUUGAGAAUCUUUUUGCGUGAUGAUCUAUUAAUAUGAUAGAGUAUAAUGAUUGAUUUUAAAGUGUUAAAUCAAUCUUGUGUUCUUGGGAUAAAGCCCACGUGGUCAUGAUGUAUUAUCAUUUUUAUAUGUGGUUGAAUUAUUUAAUGGAUAUACAACUGCUGAGUUUAUUUUAUUCUUGACUGAAUGUAUGUAGUUUGUAUCGCUCAAGAAAUUGCCCAUCGCAUAUAAGUUGUUGAAUUUAUUAGCAUAAAGUUGUUCAUAAUAUUCCUUUAUCCUUUCAACAUCUGUGAAGUAUGAGGUGAUGUCAUCUUUCUCAUUUCUGAUACUGGCAAUUGUGGCUUUUUUUUUAACUGAACAAUCAGAUAGCAGUUUAUCAAUUGUAUUGAUCUUCUCAAAGAAAUAGCUUUUUGGUUUCGUUGAUGCACUUUUUUUUCAUUGACUUCCACUCUUUAUUCUUUCUUUUGCUUGUUUUUUUGUUUGUUUGUUUUUGUUUUUGUUUUUGUUUUUGAGACAGAGUCUUGCCUUGUUGCCCAAGCUGGAGUUCAGUGGGGGCAAUCUCGGCUCACUGCAAACUCCAUCUUCCGGGUUCAAGUGAUUCUCCUGCCUCAGCCUCCUGAGUAGCUGGGAUUACAGGCAUGUGCCACCAUGCCCAGCUAAUUUUUGUAUAUUUUUAGUAGAGAUGGGGUUUCACCAUGUUGACCAGGCUUGUCUCGAACUCCUGACCUCAGGUUAUCCACCCACCUCGGCCUCCCAAAGUGCUGGGAUUACAGGCAUGAACCACUGCACCCAGCCUCUUUUGCUUACAUUGGGUUUGACUUUCUCUUCUUUUUUAGGUCUCUUAAGGUGGAAGCUGGGGUCACUGAUCUGUACAAGCAUUCAGUACUAUAAAUUUCCCUCUAAGUCCACCUUUAACUGCAUCCCAGAAAUUUUGAUAUGUUGUAUUUUUGUUUUCAUUAAGUUGAAAAUAAUUUAUAAUUUUCCCUUUGAUUUCCUUUUUGACCCAUGAGUUUAGAGCUAUGCUAUUUCACUUCCACAUAUCUGUGCAUUUUCCAGAGCUCUUUCUGCUGUUGAUCAUUACUUUAAAGCCAUUGUUGUCAGAGGACAUAUUCUAUGUUUCGGAUCCUUUUAAAUUUAUUGAGACUCUUUCAUGGCCCCGAUUAUGGUUGGCGGUUGUUGCAUGCGCACUUGAAUUUGUGUACUGUUGCUCCACGAGGUGUCCUAUAAACGGCAAUGACUGUGUUAUUUGAGUAGCCCAUAUUAUCAUCCACUUUCUGUCUACUUGCUCUGCUAAUUAUUGAGAGACCAGCCUGGGCAACAAAGUGAGACACCAUCUCUACAAAAAAUCAAAAACUCACCCAUCCAUGGCAGCGCAUGCCUGCAAUCCUAGCUACUUGGGAGGCUGAGGCAGGAGGAUUUCUUGAGCCCAGGAAGUCAAGGCUGCAGUGAGCCGUGAUUGUGCCAUUGCAUUUGAGCCUGGGUGGCAGAGCAAGACCCUGUCUCAAACAAACAAAUUCUUGAUAGCGGUGUUGAAACCUCUGACUGUAAUUGCAGAUUUGUCUGUAAUUUUUCCUUGCAGCUCUAUCAGCUUUUGCUUCAUGUGUUUUGAGACUCUGUGCUCACAUCGUGCAUGCUCCUGACUGGUUGACCCCUGUGUCAUCAUGAAAUGACCCUCUUUAUCCCUAGACUCUGACUUGAAAUUGACUCCUGCUUUCCUUUGAUUAGUUUAGCAUGGGAUAUCUUCUUUUACCUUGUUACUUUUUACCUAGUGUGUCUUAUACUUAAAUUAGCUUCAUUGGAGAUUUCCAUAGGAUCAAAGUAUCUGCUUUGACAUAUUUAUUAACCUAAAAAAGUAAUAACAGCUUUUCAGUGCAGAAACCACCUUAUCUAUGUGACAAAGCUCGGGCCAUCAGUGGCAAGGUAGAUUGGCAUCACGUACCUUUGAUACAACAACCUGAGAAGGACGUCACUUCUGCGAUAUUCCUGCCAAAAAUGCAUCUCCGCAUUCCGAUCGUGAGAACAUCCUGGGCACACCCAAACUGAGAGACACCAUACAAAGUGACUGGUCAGUGCACUCAAAGGCAAAAAGCUCAUGGAAGGCAACAGAAGACAGGAGAAGUGACAGCUAAAAGCAGCGUGGAAUCCUGGAAGGGACAAAGAACACGAGCAGAGAAACUGUAGAAGCUGAGUGAGGGCAGCGGUCCAGCUUGCGCUGUUUUGCUGGGCCUCAGGUUUUCCUUAGGAUUCCGUGUGUGUUCCCCGCCUGGCCCCUCCGCAGCGACUCUGCUGUCAGUGGCUGCCCCAGGGUGGAGAGUGACCUACCUCCGGCUUCUCCUGUCCCGGCUUCUCCUGUGCCAGCCGGUCAGGCACACUGACAAACUUAGCCUUCCGUUCUGUUGGUCUGUGAUGACCGUUUCCACGUCCUGCUUUCUGAGAGCAUUUGCCUGGUGUAGACGUCCCCGUUUUCAGCGGUUAUGCGUCCCUCUAGUUUCGGUGAUGCCCUGAGGUUUACUUCCUGCAUUUUUAAGCCCACGUUUCCCCAGCACUCAUGUGUGGCCAGCGUCUGAUUCUUCCUCCAGAGCAAGACAGGGAAGCCACUGCACUUCAGCUGCCUUCACAAGUCUCCUCUGCCACCCCCGCUGAGGCCGUCUGGAAGUUUAAUUCUAGGCUAUUAUUAAAUUUCUAUAAAAUUGUUUCAACUUUACUGAGAUAUAAUUCACAAAUAGGAAUUGUGUAUAGUUAAGGUGUAUGACUUGAUGUUCUGAUACACGCUGUGAAUGAUCACUGCAGUCAAGCUAUUUCACAUGCUCACACCUCACAGUGACUACCAAGUUGGUGAAAAGAGUAACUGCGGUGUUUGCAAUUAGAAGCAAUUAUUUUUGCACCAACCUAAAAUAUUUUCUUUUUUUUUUUUUUUUUGUCGCCCAGCCUGGACUGCCGUGGUGAAAUCUUGGCUCACUGCAGCCUCUGCUUCCCAGGUUCAAUCAAUCUUGCCACCUCAGCCUCCCCAGUAGCUGGGACUAUGGGCACGUGCCACCAUGUCCAGCUAGUUUUUUUUGUUUUUUUUUUUUUUUGUAUUUUUAGUAGAGAUGGGGUUUCGCCAUGUUGCCCAGACUGGUCUUGAACUCCUGGCCUCAAGUGAUCCACCCACCGUCGGCCUCCCAAAGUGCUGGGAUUACAGGCAUGAGCCACCGCACCAGCUUCUUUUAUUUUCUUUGUGUGUGUUGAGAACACUUAAGAUCUAUCCUCUCAGCCCAUGUCCAGCAUCCAGUACAGCAUUGUUAACCAUGGCCACCUAGGACAGCGCUCCCCAGAAACUGAAUUUGCCAGCACCUUGAUCGUGGACUUCCAGCCUCCAGAACAGCGAGAAGAAUCGCUUCUAGGUUUUGACCAGCCGGCCUGUGGCAUUUUGCUACAACAGCCUGGGCAGCCUGCAGUGCUCUGUGCUUUGUUCUCUUUCAUUUUGUUUUGUUUUCUGUAAUUCACCUUUGAGAAACUCGUUCAGGAAGGAUGCAUGGGUGACAUUUUCUGCAUCCUCACAUUUUGUCACUGGGUGUGGCCGGGUCUGUGAGUCUAGACACAAAGCCAGUCACCUGGGGACGCUGCCACCUGAAGGCCUGCGUGGCCGGGUCUGUGACUGUAGACACAAAGCCAGUCACCUGGGGACGCUGCCACCUGAAGGCCUGCGUGGCCGGGUCUGUGACUCUAGACAAAAAGCCAGUCACCUGGGAACUCUGGGACACCCUCUUCUCUCACCCAUUGCUGUGGGGAAGCCUGGGGAUGGGUUUUCUUGUUUUGGUUUUUUAUCAUGUUGGUGUUUUGUUUUGUUUUUUUUUUGAGAUGGAGUUUCCCUCUUGUCUCCCAGGCUAGAGUGCAAUGGCGUGAUCUCGGCUCACUGCAACCUCCGCCUCCUGGGUUCAAGCGAUUCUCCUGCCUCAGCCUCCUGAGUAGCUGGGAUUACAGGCAUGCACCACCACGCCUGGCUAAUUUUUGUAUUUUUAGUAGAGACGGGGUUUCACCAUGUUGGUCAGGCUGGUCCCGAACUCCUGACUUCAGGUGAUCCACGCACCUCGGCCUCCCAAAGUGCUGAGAUUACAAGCAUGAGCCAUCGCACCCAGCCCAUAGUGGUUUUUAAAUCUUUCCUUUUGCCCUCAUUGUUCUAAAAUUUUAUGAAGAUGAAGACAUAUCUCGUGUCUCAUUCACGGAGAGCCGAUUCUGUAACAGCCGCUGCUCUGGGCGCCGGGAGAAACCGUGAGGAGCAGGCAGAGCUUCCGUCGCGGGGCCCACAGGGCCCAGGUGUGCAUUAUUUCCCUCCCAUCAAUCCUGUUCUUCUUCUGAAACUCUCAGUGUGCAGAUGUUGGAAUGUCUGGCUUCGUCCUCCAUUUCCUUUUUUUUUUUUUUCAUACUUUCCCUCUAUCUCGCUCUGCUGUGUACAAAAAAACUUGGGCAUUUUCAAGUACAAAGCAAAGGAAGCAAUAAAGCAUCCCCAGAUAUUUGAGGAAAGCUGACAUCACAAAGUGGAGAAUUCCUUGACUGUGUGUUCCAGGCACAAGUUCGUUCUUCAGCCUUUUCUUCCUGUUAUUCACCCCAUCACUUUUUAAUUUUUUUUGGAUGUCACAUUUUUCAUAUUUAUAUUUUCAGUUCCGUUUUUAAGGCUGUAUCUUCUCUAUGGAUAAAUAAACCUGUGAAGACGUA
rnacentral:lncRNA from 1 species